AUCCAGCUGGAGAGUCCCAAAUAGGACGAAAUGCGCGUCCUGGAU
rnacentral:hammerhead_ribozyme from 1 species